AGUUUGAUCAUGGCUCAGAAUCAACGCUGGCGGCGUGCCUCAGACAUGCAAGUCGAACGCGAAAGUCCCCUUCGGGGGACAAGUAGAGUGGCGCACGGGUGAGUAACACGUAGGUAAUCUACCUUUGGAUGGGGAAUAACAACCGGAAACGGUUGCUAAUACCGCAUAAUGCAGCGGCACCUAAUGAUGACAGUUGUUAAAGCGGGGGAUCGAAAGACCUCGCGUCUAAAGAGGAGCCUGCGGCGGAUUAGCUAGUUGGUAAGGUAAUGGCUUACCAAGGCGACGAUCCGUAACCGGCCUGAGAGGGCGGUCGGUCACACUGACACUGACAUACGGGUCAGACUCCUACGGGAGGCAGCAGUCGGGAAUUUUGGGCAAUGGGCGAAAGCCUGACCCAGCAACACCGCGUGAAGGAUGAAAUCCCUCGGGAUGUAAACUUCGCA
rnacentral:rRNA from 1 species